rnacentral:rRNA from 1 species
UGCAGUCGAGCGGACAGAUGGGAGCUUGCUCCCUGAUGUUAGCGGCGGACGGGUGAGUAACACGUGGGUAACCUGCCUGUAAGACUGGGAUAACUCCGGGAAACCGGGGCUAAUACCGGAUGGUUGUUUGAACCGCAUGGUUCAAACAUAAAAGGUGGCUUCGGCUACCACUUACAGAUGGACCCGCGGCGCAUUAGCUAGUUGGUGAGGUAAUGGCUCACCAAGGCAACGAUGCGUAGCCGACCUGAGAGGGUGAUCGGCCACACUGGGACUGAGACACGGCCCAGACUCCUACGGGAGGCAGCAGUAGGGAAUCUUCCGCAAUGGACGAAAGUCUGACGGAGCAACGCCGCGUGAGUGAUGAAGGUUUUCGGAUCGUAAAGCUCUGUUGUUAGGGAAGAACAAGUACCGUUCGAAUAGGGCGGUACCUUGACGGUACCUAACCAGAAAGCCACGGCUAACUACGUGCCAGCAGCCGCGGUAAUACGUAGGUGGCAAGCGUUGUCCGGAAUUAUUGGGCGUAAAGGGCUCGCAGGCGGUUUCUUAAGUCUGAUGUGAAAGCCCCCGGCUCAACCGGGGAGGGUCAUUGGAAACUGGGGAACUUGAGUGCAGAAGAGGAGAGUGGAAUUCCACGUGUAGCGGUGAAAUGCGUAGAGAUGUGGAGGAACACCAGUGGCGAAGGCGACUCUCUGGUCUGUAACUGACGCUGAGGAGCGAAAGCGUGGGGAGCGAACAGGAUUAGAUACCCUGGUAGUCCACGCCGUAAACGAUGAGUGCUAAGUGUUA